rnacentral:rRNA from 1 species
GACGAACGCUGGCGGCGUGCUUAACACAUGCAAGUCGAACGGAAAGGCCCUGCUUUUGUGGGGUGCUCGAUUGGCGAACGGGUGAGUAACACGUGAGUAACCUGCCCUUGACUUUGGGAUAACUUCAGGAAACUGGGGCUAAUACCGGAUAGGAUCUCCUGCUGCAUGGUGGGGGUUGGAAAGUUUCGGCGGUUGGGGAUGGACUCGCGGCUUAUCAGCUUGUUGGUGGGGUAGUGGCUUACCAAGGCUUUGACGGGUAGCCGGCCUGAGCGGGUGACCGGCCACAUUGGGACUGAGAUACGGACCAGACUCCUACGGGAGGCAGCAGUGGGGAAUAUUGCACAAUGGGCGGAAGCCUGAUGCAGCAACGCCGCGUGCGGGAUGACGGCCUUCGGGUUGUAAACCGCUUUCGCCUGUGACGAAGCGUGAGUGACGGUAAUGGGUAAAGAAGCACCGGCUAACUACGUG